AGCGACUGAGCCACCCAGGUGCCCCUGGAAGAACAUUUUAAAACGGGUUACUAAAGACAGAGAUUAAAGAGCCAGCAUGGAUUUGACCUAAUGAUUCAGAAAGACUGGGCUUAUUAAUUUUGCUAUACUAGUUACCACUCUACUAUUUUUAUAACCCCGGUGUAUAUUUAAUACUACCAAUGAAUAUAUAAAUAUUUUCUUUUCAAAUGGUGUAUAACAUUUUUGUUGUGAUUGAAAUAGCCUGUUUUAUCAACUCUCAACUUUGGAAAAGGAAGAUUCUAGAGGAAGAAGAAGAGACAAAGAAGUGGUAGCUGAUGUGAACCAAAUGCGAUCUGACAGCUUACCUUGGAAAGCUGAGCUUGUCUGAGAUCUGUGAACGGAUGACUUGACUCUUGUCAGAAAGAGAAGUUCAAGAAAAAGCCCUGAAGGAGUAAAAAGCCUCAUACAAGUACUCUGUGAUUGCACAAAUGCUGAUUCAAACUAAAGUAUGGGAAUUCUGUGAAGAAUAUAUCCAGCCCUAGGAAAAAAUUUUCAAAGUGCCCACUGAUGUGACAAAUCAGGCUUCUCUGACCCAGACUUCAGAAUCUCCUGGACUAAGAACAACUCACAUCAUUGUGAUUUAGAAGUAUCCUGGUGCUAGAGAAGACACCAAG